rnacentral:lncRNA from 1 species
AUUAAUGAACAAAUACUGAUAAAUCGUUAUUAACUGAGGGACAUACUUUAAAUUUCCUCGGGUUUCCCCUAAUGUCCUCUCUCUGUUCCAAGAUCCAAGCAGGGAUCACGUCUCCUUAGCCUUCUCUUGGCUGUGAUAAUUUCUCAGACUCACCUUCUCUGUUUUUGAGGACCCUGACAGUUUUGAGGGACACUGGUCAGGCAUUUUGUUGAAUGUCCCUCGGCUGGGAUUUGCCUGAUAUUUUUUUCAUGAUUAGACUAGGAUAACAUGUUUUGGGAAGGAAGAACACAGAUGUAAAGUGCCAUUCUCAUCACAUCAUAUCAAGGUUCUGUUAUCUGAGAUUUACUUACUUACUGACACUACAAGCUACUCCAGGCUCAUUUUAUAUAGUUCCUGCCCCAGUAGAAUCAACCAUUUCUUCAAGGAACCUGCUUCUUUUUACUGGAGAAUAUCUUGGUAUUAGGAACCAAGGUCUGGGCACUAGGUGUGCUCAUGGCUUCUGGGAUAUCUUGGCUUCUAGAUUCUCUGUUGACAGAGCAAGGAGAUGUGUAAAUAGUAACUGUGUAUAUACAUGUAUCUAUAAAGAUUUCUGUAUGUAAUCAUCUGUAUCUAUGUUAAGCUAAACCUGAUUCAUACUGAUGCUCCAACUCUAAGCCAUUCCCACAUGGAUUAUUCCAUCCCCCUGUCCUUGCUUGUCUGUAAUCUCUCACUCCGACAGUGAAAGACCUGGCUCCCACCAUCCUCCAUCCAUUUACUUAACUGUCCAGCUCCAGCAUACACAUCUAAUGGUUUCAGAAUUGUUUAUUCAUAUGCCUGUAUUCUUGCAAACUCCACUCGUUUCCAGAGUUACUUAGGUCAGUAUUUUGUUCCCCAACUCCAUUCAUUGAUGUUUUUACAUUUGUAAUUGAGAUUCUUUUGACACAUUCUGCGUUCCGACCUGGGAUCCCCCAAACCCUUAAAUGAUUUUUAAAAAAAUUUGUAUACAUUAAAGUUUGCUCGUUGUCCUGUAAAUUUCUACGGGUUCUGAUAAAUGCUUAAUGUUCUGUAUUCAUCAUUAUGGUAUAAUACAGAAUAAUUUCACCACCCUAAAAAAUUCUCUGUGUUUCAACUAUUCAACUCUCCUUCCCCUCCAAAUUCCUGGCAAGCACUAAGCUGUUUACCAUCUCUAUAGUUUUGCCUUUUCCAGUAUGUCAUAGAAUUAGAAGCUUACACUGUA